ACAUGCAGUCGAGCGAUGAUAUUUUUUCAGAUUCCUUCGGGAUGACGAAAAGAAGGAUUAGCGGCGGACGGGUGAGUAACACGUGAAUAACCUACCUUUGACACAGGGAUAGCCUCGGGAAACUGGGAUUAAUACCAGAUGAUAUAUCUUCAUCACAUGAUAAAGAUAUUAAAGUGAUUUAGCGGUCAAAGAUGGAUUCGCGUCUGAUUAGCUAGUUGGUGAGAUAAAAGCUCACCAAGGCAACGAUCAGUAACCGGCCUGAGAGGGUGAACGGUCACAUUGGAACUGAGACACGGUCCAAACUCCUACGGGAGGCAGCAGUGGGGAAUAUUGCACAAUGGAGGAAACUCUGAUGCAGCGACGCCGCGUGAGCGAUGAAGGUUUUCGAAUCGUAAAGCUCUGUCCCAUGGGAAGAUAAUGACGGUACCAUGGGAGGAAGCCCCGGCUAACUACGUGCCAGCAGCCGCGGUAAUACGUAGGGGGCUAGCGUUGUCCGGAAUUACUGGGCGUAAAGGGUUCGCAGGCGGAAAUACAAGUCAGGUGUAAAAGGCGGAGGCUUAACCUCCGUAAGCAUUUGAAACUGUAUUUCUUGAGAUAUGGAGAGGCAAGUGGAAUUCCUAGUGUAGCGGUGAAAUGCGUAGAUAUUAGGAGGAAUACCAGUGGCGAAGGCGACUUGCUGGACAUAUACUGACGCUGAGGAACGAAAGCAUGGGUAGCAAACAGGAUUAGAUACCCUGGUAGUCCAUGCUGUAAACGAUGAGUGCUAGGUGUCGGGGGUGACCUCGGUGCCGUAGUUAACACAAUAAGCACUCCGCCUGGGGAGUACGUGCGCAAGCAUGAAACU
rnacentral:rRNA from 1 species